rnacentral:rRNA from 1 species
UACGCGAGGGGCUAGCGUUGUUCGGAAUUACUGGGCGUAAAGCGCACGUAGGCGGCCUUGUAAGUUGGGGGUGAAAUCCCGGAGCUCAACUCCGGAACUGCCUCCAAAACUACAAAGCUCGAGGAUGUGAGAGGAGAGUGGAAUUCCGAGUGUAGAGGUGAAAUUCGUAGAUAUUCGGAAGAACACCAGUGGCGAAGGCGUCUCUCUGGCACAUUUCUGGCGCUGAGACGCGAAAGCUUGGGGAGCAAACAGG